UCAGACGAUGCGUCAUGCAUAUCAAUAAGCGGAGGAAAAGAAACUAACAAGGAUUCCCCUAGUAACGGCGAGUGAAGCGGGAAGAGCUCAAAUUUGAAAUCUUAAAGGGUUUCCCUUUACGAAUUGUAGUUUAAAGAAGUGUUUUCUGUUGAGGUUUUGGUAAAAGUUCUUUGGAAUAGGACAUCAUAGAGGGUGAGAAUCCCGUAUUUGACCUUUACUUUCAACUUUGUGAUACACUUUCAAAGAGUCGGAUUGUUUGGGAAUGCAGUCCAAAAUGGGUGGUAAAUUUCAUCUAAAGCUAAAUAUUGGCGAGAGACCGAUAGCGAACAAGUACCGUGAGGGAAAGAUGAAAAGAACUUUGAAAAGAGAGUUAAACAGUACGUGAAAUUGUCAAAAGGGAAGCGUUUGACACCAGUGUUGUUUUUCUGAAAAUCAAUUAAAGAACUGUUUAUGCUAAGCUGUUUAGACUUUAUCAGCUAUCUGUUUAGUUUUGAGCUUUUCUUUAAUGCACUUUUCAGUUAACAAGUCAACAUCAAUUUCUUUUGCUGUAAAAAAGCUUGAGGAAGGUGGCUUGAGAUUCGUCUUAAGUGUUUAUAGCCUCUUGCCUAUGCAGUCGGAGAGAUUGAGGUCUGCAGCGUAGAUCCUUCGGGGCUAAAUGCAUUUGUGCUAAGUUAUAGCAUUUUAUAGACAACUUGUUGACUAUGAUUUGUCUUGUAGCUUACUCGCUUAUGUUAUUUUACCUACGCUUAGGAUGUUGAAUCUGUGCGAGACUAC
rnacentral:rRNA from 1 species